rnacentral:rRNA from 1 species
AUACGUAGGGUGCAAGCGUUAAUCGGAAUUACUGGGCGUAAAGCGUGCGCAGGCGGUUUUGUAAGACAGUGGUGAAAUCCCCGGGCUCAACCUGGGAACUGCCAUUGUGACUGCAAGGCUGGAGUGCGGCAGAGGGGGAUGGAAUUCCGCGUGUAGCAGUGAAAUGCGGAGAUAUGCGGAGGAACACCGAUGGCGAAGGCAAUCCCCUGGGCCUGUACUGACGCUCAUGCACGAAAGCGUGGGGAGCAAACAGGAUUAGAUACCCUGGUAGUCCACGCCCUAAACGAUGUCAACUGGUUGUUGGGGAUUUAUUUUCUCAGUAACGAAGCUAACGCGUGAAGUUGACCGCCUGGGGAGUACGGCCGCAAGGUUAAAACUCAAAUGAAUUGACGGGG